rnacentral:rRNA from 1 species
UAUCUCUGUAGAGUCUGCAUAUCAAUAAGCGGAGGAAAAGAAACUAACUAGGAUUCCCUUAGUAACGGCGAGUGAAGCGGGAAGAGCUCAAAUUUGAAAUCUUCAAGGUUUUACCUUGACGAAUUGUAGUUUAAAGAAGUGUUUUCUGUUGGAUGUUUUGGUAAAAGUUCUUUGGAAUAGGACAUCAUAGAGGGUGAGAAUCCCGUAUUUGACCAUUACUUUCCAGCUUUGUGAUACACUUUCAAAGAGUCGGAUUGUUUGGGAAUGCAGUCCAAAAUGGGUGGUAAAUUUCAUCUAAAGCUAAAUACUGGCGAGAGACCGAUAGCGAACAAGUACCGUGAGGGAAAGAUGAAAAGAACUUUGAAAAGAGAGUUAAACAGUACGUGAAAUUGUCAAAAGGGAAGCGUUUGACACCAGUGUUGUUUUCUCGAAAAUCAAUUAAAAAAGGCAGGAUUUUGUGUUGUAUUGACUUUAUCAGCUUUCUGCACUCUUUUCUUGUCUUUUUUAAUGCACUUUUCGUUUAACAAGUCAACAUCAAUUUCUUUUGUUGUAAGAGGGUCAUUGGAAGGUGGCUUUCUUUUCGGAGAAAGUGUUUAUAGCCUUUGGCCUCUGCAAUCGGAGAGAUUGAGGUCUGCAGCGUAGAUCCUUCGGGGUUAGAUACAUUUGUGCUAAGUUAUAGCCUUUCAUAGACAACUUGUUGACUAUGAUCAGUCAUGUAGCUUACCCGCUUAUGCUAUUUUACCUACGCUUAGGAUGUUGACGAUCAGCUGAGCGCG